GAUGAACGCUGGCGGCGUGCCUAAUACAUGCAAGUAGAGCGAAGGAGGGAGAGCUUGCUUCUUCUGAUGAGUGGGGAACGGGGGAGUGAGACAGAUGGAAAAUGCGUAGAAGAGGCGGAUAACAGUUGGGGAAAACGGAGAUAAGAGCAGAAAAUAGUAUAUUCCGUGUGAUCUAAGAGGAAAAGACAAUUGUGUUAUUACUAGGAGAUGGAGCUGCGCUGCAUUAGCUAGUUGGUAAGGCAACGGCCUACCCAGGCAACGAUGCAUAGCCGACCUGAGAGGAUGAUCGGCCACCCUGGACUUGAGCCACGGUCCAGACCCAUACGGGAGGCAGCAGUAGGGAAUCUUCCACAAUGGGCGAAAGCCUGACGGAGCCACGCCGCGUGAGUGAUGAAGGUCUUCGGAUCGUAAAACUCUGUUAUUUGGGAAGAACAUAUGUGUAAGUCACUGUGCACCCCUUGACGGUACCUACUCAGAAAGCCACGGCUAACUCCGUG
rnacentral:rRNA from 1 species